rnacentral:rRNA from 1 species
AUUGAACGCUGGCGGCAGGCCUAACACAUGCAAGUCGAACGAGUGGCGGACGGGUGAGUAAUGUCUGGGAAACUGCCUGAUGGAGGGGGAUCACUACUGGAAACGGUAGCUAAUACCGCAUACCAUCGGAUGUGCCCAGAUGGGAUUAGCUAGUAGGUGGGGUAACGGCUCACCUAGGCGACGAUCCCUAGCUGGGCUGAGAGGAUGACCAGCCACACUGGAACGUGGAAACGUUCCAUACUCCCACGGGAGGCUGCAGGGGGGAAUAUUGCACAAUGGGCGCAAGCCUGAUGCAGCCAUGCCGCUUGUAUGAAGAAGGCCUUCGGGUUGUAAAGUACUUUCAGCGGGGAGACGUUACCCGCAGAAGAAGCACCGACUAACUCCGUGCCAGCAGCCGCGGUAAUUC